rnacentral:rRNA from 1 species
CGCCUGCUACUUAAACAACAGGUAGAAUCUGCCCAAUGAUCCAUUUAAUGGCCGCAGUAUCCUGACUGUGCUAAGGUAGCAUAAUAAUUUGCCUCGUAAUUGGAGGCUAGGAUGAAGGAUCUGACGAAGGAAACCCUGUCUUGACAUUUGAUCUAAAAUUUAAUGUUUAAGUAAAAAAGCUUAAAUCAAGCGAAGGGACGACAAGACCCUAAAAGCUUUUUUAUUGACGUAAAUCUGAUAAAUUCACCUAAAGGUAACUGUUAAUAAUUUAGCUGGGGCGGCUGUAAUUAAACUUACACAAAUAAUAUACUCACAUAUUUAAUGACACUAAUUAACUUCUCUAGAAACCUAAAAUAAAGUUACUUUAGGGAUAACAGCGCAAUAUCCCAAUAGAGCCCCUAUCGACUGGGAUGAUUGCGACCUCGAUGUUGAAUUGAGAACCUUCCUGAAGCAGUACUCAGGGAAAGGGAGUCUGUUCGACUCUUAACCUCUC